CCGAAUUCUACUCUCUCUCAUCUUUCUGCUUCUGGAUUUGUGGACCUAGAGUUUCUGCUGAUUCUUUUUGGUUUUCAGUUGAUUUUUGGUUAUGAAUCAAAGGUACAUAUAUGGCGUACUUACAUUUUGGAUCUAAUGAAAGCUGAUGAUUCUCAGAGAAGUAUUGCAUAUGGAUUUUGCAGCUUCAUUUGGUAUAAUUUGGCAGUGCGUACAUGUUGCACUGCUGAAAAGUCACAGUGUACAUACGUUACACUGACGAGAAAUCAGUGUAUAAAUGCUGCACUCUGUUAAAAUCAAAGUCUACACUUCAUAGAACAUCACAGUAGCUGCUGGUUUUUGCUGCAUAACUAAUGAACAAAAAGAACGCUGGCCAAAUGUGAAAGUGAAGUUCUUUUUCCUACUAGUUGGUUUUUUUCGAGCCACACAAAUGAUUUUAUUAAUCUCUUAUCUUGCUUUAAGUUUGGUCAACUAUUAUUUUGCACUAAGCAUAACCAAGUAAUCCGCUUGUAUUUUUUAUACAUUUUCUGAUCAUCUCAGAAGGGGGAACGAACAUGACGUGCCUGUUGAUCUGGUUGCGCAAAGUCAUUCGUACAAGCAGAGAUUGGUACACUUUACCAACAUAGCCCUUCUCUGCUGAUGAUUGCAAUCAUGGGUUGGUAGUCGUCCUCGUAUCCACAAUACAAGCCUUUUGGGAUGGUUGCUCAAAUAGUUCAAGGUGAAGGUGUACGUGCUUUGUAGAACAAGGUUAUUCCGAGUGUAGGAAUAGUCUUCAUGACUGAUCUGUAAUCUUUGUUGAUUCAUUUUUUACUAUAUAUUUUUUGUAUCUUAUGUACUAUUUUUCUUUGUAAUGAACUGUAUCAGAAGUUAUGGUUUGGAUUUGACGAAUUCGACUGAGUUGUUUUAAUCGUAUGGUCCUACUUAAACUGGACAUAUGUUGU